rnacentral:misc_RNA from 1 species
UAUUUUUAUUUUUAUUUUUAUAUUAAAAAUUAUAUAAAAAAUAGUUUUUUAAUUUAAAAAAUUAAAAAUAUAUUAUUAUCUUCCAUAAUAAAAAAAUAAAUGACUAAAAAAUAUUUUUUACUUUUUAAAAUUUUUUUAAUAUGUGUUAUUUAUUCUUUUAUAAUAAUAUAAUUAUUUUUUUAUCAUUGUGCAUAAAUAUUUUUAAUAAUUAUUUAAUUUUUAUUAUGAAAAGUUAUAAUAAUAUUUUUAUGAAAAAAAUAAAAUUAUUAAACUGAACUUUUCUAUUGAUUUUCAAAUCUUAAUUAAACUUUGAAAAACUGAAAAUUAAUUUUCGUUUCUUCAUUUAGAAAACUAGCACACAUGAAUGGAGAUCAGAAAGAGAUAGAUGUGUAGAUACAGAGGCCACAUAUAUGUUAGUUUUAUGAAAGAAGGGAAAUCUUCAUAUGCCAUCAAUACUAUAUAUCAUCUCUUGAAUAUUGAUCACAACUUGAGAAAAUUUAAAAGAAACUACAAAAACAUUUAGAAUUUGAAAUGUGAACUGGCCAAUUUCCUACUCUCUGGACAAAAACAACAGAUCUUUGAUGACAGACUCAUAAGCAUAUUAGCAACUUCUUCUAACAGUAAGAAUUUCAAAGUUUAUCAUAAUGAAACCAACAGCUAGUGAGUCCAGAUUGGAAUUAUCUUAAUACUAGAGAUUACUGCAUUAAUCAUGGAUUGGUGAAGCAAUUCUCUGCUUCAGAGUACUGAUUAAUUCAUACUUCUGGUGUUCCAUUGUUUAUCAUUAAAGAUCAGGUCAUUUCGUGCAUUCAUUAGCUUCCAUGCCAGGAACGGCCAGUCCGAGAAGAGAGCCAUCAACGAGAAGAGCUUUCAGAUUUUCCAUCAGUGCUUCCUAUUUCAGGAUGCCUAAACAUAUUCAGCUCUCAAAUUCAGACGCCAAGAAAACUACGCUUCUCUUGCUGACCAUUAGCCCCUUAAACCCUCUUCCACCCCAAGUGGCCCAGACUUUUCAAAAAUUUAUACCAUCAUCAGAUGUAAAAUCAAAGGCAGUUCCUUGAUCUUGAAUGGUAGAACAAGGACUUGUACCUGGAGCAGAACAGCUAGAUCCUGCACAAUUGCUAGGAGGCCACAGAACAGAAUAGGAAACUCUUUUACCAAGCUCAUGAUGUCUCUAUAAUGAAGAAGAACAAUAUGUUCACAGGCCCUGCCAAGAAAAAUAACAUGUGAGCAAAUUCAGCACAAUAACAAUACAAAGCUUGGCAUUUCCAACCUACUCACAAAAAAAAAUGUCAAUAUGCAGGACACAAAUGGCUAAACACAUAAAAUAGAAAUACAAAUUAAGCUACUAUUACAUCAAAAAAUGUCAUUACAUUAUGCAGCAACCAUUUCGACAUAUAUCACAAACACCUAUAAUGCAAGUAUCUGCUACCCAAAUUCUAUGCAUAAUCCAUUCUGACAUUUUCUGGAAGGUUCACUUUCUUGCAACAGUAAGCAAAAUCCAAUGAGGGAAAUUUUUGUGCUCUACUUCAACUAUCUAACAGUCUUAAGCUU